CUAGCCCUAGGCUGUGGAGCGGCGCUCCGGUGCCAGAGGUAUCCGAGCCGAGGAGACUUGUGGUUUCUCUGACUCUAUGGUCUGAGGCGGCAGCACUGAUCAUGGAGACCGGUGCCUCCCGCGAGCCCGAGACGGCCGAAGUGCUGCCCCAGCACAAGUUCGACUGCAGGUCUCUGGAGGCCUACCUACACCAGCACUUGCCCGGCUUUGGGGCCGAGCCCGAGGCCAAGCUGACCGUUGCCCAAUACAGAUCAGGACAGUCCAAUCCAACCUUUUAUCUCCAGAAGGGCUUUCAGGCAUAUGUACUCAGAAAAAAACCACCUGGUUCACUUCUUCCUAAAGCACAUAAGAUUGAUAGAGAAUUUAAAGUCCAGAAAACUUUGUUUUCAAUUGGAUUCCCCGUUCCCAAACCUUUAUUGUACUGCAGUGAUGCUUGUGUCAUUGGAACAGAAUUUUAUGUGAUGGAACAUGUACAGGGCCGAAUCUUUCGUGAUUUCACAAUUCCUGAAGUUAGCCCAGCAGAACGCUCAGCCAUAUAUGUGGCCAUGAUAGAAACCUUGGCUCAGUUACAUUCCUUGAAUAUACAGUCACUGCAGCUGGAAGAAUAUGGUAGAGGUGCUGGGUACUGCAAAAGACAGGUAUCAACCUGGACAAAGCAAUAUCAAGCUGCAGCUCAUCAGGACAUCCCUGCCAUGAACCAACUAUCUGACUGGCUAAUGAAAAACUUGCCAGAUAAUGACAAUGAAGAAAAUUUGAUUCAUGGAGAUUUCAAACUAGAUAACAUAGUUUUCCACCCUAAAGAGUCUCGAGUUGUAGCUGUACUAGAUUGGGAGCUUUCAACCAUUGGUCAUCCUCUGUCAGACUUGGCUCAUCUCUCUAUGUUCUACUUUUGGCCAAGGACCAUUCCAUUGUUAAGUCAAAGUCCUCAUUUGCAAGAAAACAUAGGGGUACCAUCAAUGGAAGAACUGAUUUCAAUAUAUUGCCGCUGCAGGGGAAUUAAUUCUAAUCUUCCUAACUGGAAUUUCUUUCUUGCCCUUUCAUAUUUUAAAAUUGCUGGAAUAGCACAGGGAGUAUAUAGUAGAUAUCUUCUGGGAAAUAAUGCAUCUGAAAGUAGCUUUCAGUUUGCCAAUAUUGUGCAACCUCUGGCAGAAACUGGAUUACAACUCUCAAAAAGAACUUUCAGUACUGCACUUCCACAGACUGAUACUACCAGACAAUUGUUUGUACAGACUAGGACAGGCCACGAAGUUCUUACUAGGGUGAAGCAGUUCAUGAAACAACACAUCCUCCCAGCUGAAAAGGAGGUAAUUGAGUUCUAUGUUCAAAAUGAAAAUUCAGUAGACAAGUGGAAAAAACCUUUAGUGAUUGAUAAACUCAAGGAAAUGGCCAAAGCAGAAGGCCUCUGGAACUUGUUUUUGCCAGCUGUAAGCGGUCUCAGCCAAGUAGACUAUGCCUUGAUUGCUGAAGAAACAGGAAAAUGCUUUUUUGCUCCAGAUGUCUUUAACUGCCAAGCACCAGACACAGGGAACAUGGAGGUGCUUCACCUAUAUGGAAGUGAGAAACAGAAGCAGCAGUGGCUUGAGCCUCUUCUUCAAGGGAGCAUUGCCUCUUGCUUCUGUAUGACAGAGCCCGAUGUAGCUUCAAGUGAUGCCACAAAUAUUGAAUGUAGCAUCCAGCAAGAUGGAGAUAGCUAUAUAAUUAACGGCAAGAAAUGGUGGUGCACUGGAGCUGGGAAUCCAAAGUGCAAAAUUGCAAUUGUUAUGGGAAAAAGUAACAAUAACUGUGUAACCAGACACAAACAACACAGCAUGAUUCUUGUUCCCAUCAACACACCUGGAGUAGAAGUAAUAAGGCCCUUGUCUGUUUUUGGCUACCUGGACAAUUUCCAUGGAGGACAUUUUGAGAUCCAUUUUAAUCAAGUGCGAGUUCCUGCCACCAAUCUAAUACUAGGUGAAGGUAGGGGAUUUGAAAUUGCCCAAGGCCGCCUUGGACCUGGCAGAAUCCACCACUGUAUGAGAACAAUAGGUUUGGCUGAACGUGCUUUGCAGAUCAUGUGUGAACGGGCAAAACAAAGGGUGGCCUUUAAGAAGAAACUGUAUUCACAUGAGGUGGUGGCUCACUGGAUCUCUGAAAGCCGCAUUGCCAUUGAGGAGAUCCGCUUGUUGACCUUGAAAGCUGCCCAUAGCAUUGAUACUCUGGGCAGCUCUGGUGCUAAGAAGGAGAUUGCAAUGAUUAAAGUGGCUGCUCCUCGGGCCGUCUGCAAAAUUAUUGACCAGGCCAUCCAAGUGUGUGGAGGUGCCGGCGUUUCCCAUGAAUACCCUCUGGCUAACAUGUAUGCCCUAACGCGAACUUUGCGCUUAGCAGAUGGGCCCGAUGAAGUUCACCUCUCGGCAGUUGCAAAAAUGGAGCUGUGGGACCAAGCCAGAAGCCUGAGGGCCAAGGUGUAGAAUUCAUCGGCUCCAGCAUUUGUAUCUCAUUCAGCUUUUGCAGCAGUUUAAGCACAGGAUUAAUUACUCACUUUGGCCUCUCACUGUUGUGGCCUCCCCCAUUGCGGAGCACAGGCUCCGGAGGCACAGGCUCAGUGGCCAUGGCUCACAGGCCCAGCCGCUCCACGGCAUGUGGGAUCCUCCCGGACCGGGGCACGAACCCGCGUCCCCUGAAUCGGCAGGCGGACUCUCAACCACUGCGCCACCAGGAAAGCCCGGCAAUUUUUUUUAAAUUUUCAAAUGAAAGUAUUUUGAGUUUGGAAAGCUUUAAAACUGUUUUAUUAGAAAGCAUACACAUCACAUGAAUCUAUUGAUGCGUAGAGAUUAUUUCAAUCAUUAUUUAAAUGUCAUCUUGGAGUGGGGUUGGACCAGACAUUUACAAAGCCCAUGUCAUGUGGGCUUUGUAAACAUUUGCCUUUGAGCCUUAACCUCGCUGCACCUUGUAUUUCUUUUUGUACGUUGGGAUUAACUUUUAAACCUAGAAGACCCAUAUCUACUGAGGGCUUGUGUGGGAAUCACUGAAGCCAUAUAGAAGCACUUUGAUACUUGUGAACCACAAUAAAGUACUUUAUAAGGCAUCCUUAUUUAAAGUGGAUAAAAUCUUAUAACCCAAGCUGGUCAACCUUAUUAUUAGUUUUAAAAGCUGUG